rnacentral:rRNA from 1 species
CAAUAGCGUAUAUUAAAGUUGUUGCAGUUAAAAAGCUCGUAGUUGGAUUUCGGGGCAGCCUGGCUGGUCCGCCGCAAGGCGAGUACUGGUCAGCCGCCCUUCCUCUCGAAAGCCCCGACUGCUCUUUAUUGCAGUGGUCGGGUAGUUCGGGACGUUUACUUUGAAAAAAUUAGAGUGUUCAAGGCAGGCCUACGCCUGAAUACAUUAGCAUGGAAUAAUGGAAGAGGACCUCGGUCCUAUUUUGUUGGUUUCCAGGACCGAAGUAAUGAUUAAGAGGGACAGUUGGGGGCAUUCGUAUUUAAUUGUCAGAGGUGAAAUUCUCGGAUUUAUGAAAGACGAGCAACUGCGAAAGCAUUUGCCAAGGAUGUUUNCAUUAA